rnacentral:rRNA from 1 species
GGGGAUGACGUCAAGUCCUCAUGGCCCUUACAUCCCGGGCUACACACGUGCUACAAUGGCAGGUACAGAGGGCUGCGAAGCCGCGAGGUGGAGCGAAUCCCAGAAAACCUGUCUCAGUCCGGAUUGAAGUCUGCAACUCGACUUCAUGAAGGCGGAAUCGCUAGUAACCGCGAAUCAGCAGGUCCGCGGUCGAAUACGUUCCCGGGCCUU